rnacentral:rRNA from 1 species
AUUGAACGCUGGCGGCAGGCCUAACACAUGCAAGUCGAACGGUAACAGGAAGAAGCUUGCUUCUUUGCUGACGAGUGGCGGACGGGUGAGUAAUGUCUGGGAAACUGCCUGAUGGAGGGGGAUAACUACUGGAAACGGUAGCUAAUACCGCAUAACGUCGCAAGACCAAAGGGGGGGACCUUCGGGCCUCUUGCAAUCGGAUGUGCCCAGAUGGGAUUAGCUAGUAGGUGGGGUAACGGCUCACCUAGGCGACGAUCCCUAGCUGGUCUGAGAGGAUGACCAGCCACACUGGAACUGAGACACGGUCCAGACUCCUACGGGAGGCAGCAGUGGGGAAUAUUGCACAAUGGGCGCAAGCCUGAUGCAGCCAUGCCGCGUGUAUGAAGAAGGCCUUCGGGUUGUAAAGUACUUUCAGCGGGGAGGAAGGGAGUAAAGUUAAUACCUUUGCUCAUUGACGUUACCCGCAGAAGAAGCACCGGCUAACUCCGUG